rnacentral:snoRNA from 1 species
UUGAUGAGUCCAGGACUAACUGAGUGGUGAAGAUACUUCUCGCAUCUGA